GCGAUAGAUAGGAAACGCCAGGCGACGGGUAGUAGCGUAUUCCUGUGUGCUAAUAACACCCGCCGCUUCGAAUAUGAUCUUUAGUUUUUUACUAUAAAAUAUUUAUUAACAUUUGUACUAUUCGCAUAAAUUUGUACUCGUAGGUAGGUGUUUACCUUUCCCGCCGCUUCGAAUAUCGUUAGUUUGUUAAUUUGAAAUAUUUAUUUUACGUUUAUCUUAAAAUGGCACCUUCAGAUACUAAUUUAAAGAUGUUAUAUGCCAAAAGAGAUAGGAUAUUCUCCCGCAUGCAAAGCAUUUCUAGCCAAGUUAGAGAUAUGGAUUCAAAGUCAUUCAACGCUGACGCUUUUUUGUGCGACUUUGAAACAGUAGAUUCAUUGCGUGAAGAUUUUGAAGGUGUGCUCGAUAAAAUAAUCUUGUUGGAGUUAAAGGCUAAUCCCGAUUAUUUAGUUAAUUAUCAACCUCUUACGGCGUUUGAAGAUCUCUUAGGCUGCGUGAAACGAGCUGCCAAAAGGUUACAAUCGCAAUCGCAAACGGGGGAUCACGUUACGCUGGCUGGUCAACAUAGGAUUCCGAAACUACCCCCAAUAGAAAUUCCCGAAUUCAAUGGCGAUAUAAAAAACUGGCCUUUGUUUAUCUCUAGCUUUCGAAAUGUCGUACAUAAUAAUACAUCGUUAACGGACUCUGAGAAACUUUAUUAUUUGAUAGGCAAAUUAACCGGCAGGGCUCGUUCCAUAUGCGCGGGAAUUACUCCAAGCGCCGAAAACUAUUCGUUAAUUUUUGAUUUAUUAAAUAGCAAAUACGAAGAUAAACGUCUAUCUGCUACUGCGUAUUUAGAUCAAUUAUUUGAAUUUAAACCUAUCUCUUCUGCAAAGCCUAGUAAUUUAGAAUUAUUUUUGGACAAGUUCGCAUCGUCGGUAGCCGCUUUAAAAAACUUGAAGGUCAAUGACCUAUCGGAUUUUACAUUUUUGCAUGUUGCGCUUAAAAAAUUAGACACAGACACUGCCCGUGCGUUUGAAUCCUAUCAGCGCUUAAAUAAUAAGGGAUGCGAAAUACCAUUGUUUGUAGAUCUAGUGUCUUUUGUUCGUGAUCACAUAAAAGUAUUAGAACGCACGUCAUCGGUUCCCAAGGCUGCCAACAAAAGGCAGUUUGACUCUAAGUUGUCAUCUACACAGGCUUAUACAUCUAGUUCUGAGUCAACGGUAUGUAGUAUGUGUCGUGACAAACAUGAUCACAUUUAUAAAUGUAGGGUUUUUAAUAGUUAUAAACCGAACGAGCGGUUUCAAUUCGUCAAAUCGAACAAUUUAUGUAUAAAUUGUUUAAGUAGCGGUCAUCGUGUUUCCGCGUGUAGGUCGGCCUCUUUAUGUAAAAAAUGUAAUUCUAAGCAUCACACUUUAUUAUGUUUCGGAAAUGAACCCGUCGCGAGUAAAGCGCAUUCGAAUGCUAGACGCACGCAGUCACCAGGUACACGAGCAUCGGCUGUCGCACGGCCCUCCAUGCCUUCUUCGGUAGGCUUAAAUGAUAUGGGCAUUGCUCCAGCUCGCGUCAGCACGGAUGACGUAACGUUGUGCACUUUAUCAAAAGGUUAUAACCGCAUCUUACGCAGUCCUACUACGGUACUAAUUGCGACCGCACGUGUAGUUAUUAUUGAUUCACGUGGUAGGGAGCAUUGUGUACGCGCGUUGUUGGAUGGCGCGUCUCAAAGCAAUUUUGUCACUCGUGAUUGUUGUCGACGAUUGGGUUUGAACAUAAAUAAUAGACCUGCUUGUUCCGUAGUAAAGGGAAUAGGAGGUUCUAGCAAAACAAUUCAAGGUUCUGUAGAAAUAAAAUUUUAUUCUCGUUUCGAUCGUAACGUAAAUUUUACUAUGGAGUCGUUAGUAGUAGAUAAAAUUACUGAACGUUUACCGACUACCACAGUUGAUGCCUCUCUUUUAUCGAAUUUCGAAGACAUAGCAUUGGCAGACGAUACUUACUUUAACCCAGGCCCGAUCCAACUGUUGAUUGGAGCUUCGAUUUUCCCGCAUCUGCUCUUAUCGAACAAGGUUCAAGGACGGCCUUCGCAUGCCUCGCCGAUCGCGUUAGAGACUAUCCUCGGUUAUGUUAUUGUUGGUGACGCUCCCGUUCGUGUAGCUAGCAACGAGAGCCUUUCAUAUUGCUGUACCGGAGACCCGUUAGACUCCACAAUUCGGAAGUUUUGGGAAUUAGAGGAGGUAGACGUGCCGUCUGUAAUCAGCCCCGAGGACAAAAUGUCUGAGGAGUUUUAUACCCGUACUACCACACGAGAUAGUGACGGACGAUACGUGGUGGCUUUGCCCUUUAAAGGUGAUGUUAACACUCUCGGUAAUUCGCGUCAAGCAAGUGAAAGUGGAUUUUACUGCUUAGAAAGAAAGAUGCAAGCUUCUCCGCAGCUAAAAUUAGCGUACGACAACAUCAUUCUCGAAUAUUUAGAGAAGAACUAUCUCUCAGCUGUAGAUUGUGACAGUUCAGAUAUUUCUUAUUUUAUUCCGCAUCAUGGUGUAAUCAAACAAGAUAAGGUCACAACCAAAUUAAGAGUCGUACUCGAUGGUAGUUGUAAGACUACUACUAAUGUUCCGCUCAAUGAUCUGUUAUAUCGUGAACAAAAUUUCCAAGGAAAUUUAUUUAAUAUUAUUAUUAAUUUUCGUUUGUUUCCGGUUGCUCUUUCCGCUGACAUUCGUCAGAUGUUUCUGAGUAUUGGAGUCAGAGAAUCUGACAGGCGUUUUCAACGCAUUCUAUAUCGUUUUUCUCCUCAACAACCAUUACAAGUUUAUAGUGGCCCCCCUUGGGCACAUUUGGAUGUCGCGCAGUGGCCUGCUGUUCCUUUUCAUCCUUCCGUAGAGCCUGAGGCGCCGGAAGAAAAGAAACAGACUUUUCUCGCCGCUACUUUAAAUGAAAAAUCUCCUAUAUUAUCACUAGGAGAUCGUAUCUCAUCUUGGUCUAAACUAUUGCGCAGUGUAGUUUUCGUUUGUCGAUUUGUCCUUACGUAGAAUAGCACCACUCCCGCCUCUUCCUGGGAUAUCGUAAAAGGCGAUAGAUAGGAAACGCCAGGCGACGGGUAUAAAUAAAAAAAUAAAAAAAUAUUAAAAAUAAAAUAAAUUAGUAUCUGAAGGUGCCAUUUUAAGAUAAACGUAAAAUAAAUAUUUCAAAUUAACAAACUAACGAUAUUCGAAGCGGCGGGAAAGGUAAACACCUACCUACGAGUACAAAUUUAUGCGAAUAGUACAAAUGUUAAUAAAUAUUUUAUAGUAAAAAACUAAAGAUCAUAUUCGAAGCGGCGGGUGUUAUUAGCACACAGGAAUACGCUACUACCCGUCGCCUGGCGUUUCCUAUCUAUCGCCUUUUACGAUAUCCCAGGAAGAGGCGGGAGUGGUGCUAUUCUACGUAAGGCUUCGAGCCGGCUUCCGUAGAGCCUGAGGCGCCGGAAGAAAAGAAACAGACUUUUCUCGCCGCUACUUUAAAUGAAAAAUCUCCUAUAUUAUCACUAGGAGAUCGUAUCUCAUCUUGGUCUAAACUAUUGCGCAGUGUAGUUUUCGUUUGUCGAUUUGUAAAAUUGUUACCUCACAGAUAUCGCAUGUCAGCAUCGGAUUAUGAGUUCGCUGAGUUAUUAAUUCUUCGUGAACUUCAACGGUUUUAUUUUCGCGCUGAGAUCGCGAAGCUCAAGGAAGGUCAAGUUUGUAGCCCUGCAUUUCGACACUUAAAACCAUUUUUUAAAGAUGGAGUAAUUAGAGUAGGGGGACGUUUAAGAAACUCUGACUUGAGCUACGACGAGAAAUAUCCCGUUUUGCUUCCGAGAAAAGAUCCGAUCUUGAAUUUACUUGUCGAAUAUCAUCAUAAAUUAAAUUGUCACGCCGGUCCUGACCUGCUGAUGGCGCUCUUACGUCAGAAGUAUUGGAUACUUUCUGCUCGUAAUUUAAUUAGGAAUAGGAUACACAAAUGCAUGCCUUGCUUUCGACUUCGUCCUAAGCCAACAUUCCCUGAAAUGGCGGAUCAUCGUUCUUGUCGUGUCGUUCAAUCCGCUAAACCCUUCAUUCACACGGGUACAGAUUAUGCUGGCCCUUUCAAGGUUACCAUAACACGUGGGCGAGGUAUUCGUUCUACCAAAGCUUACGUGUGUUUGUUUGUUUGCAUGACUACGCGCGCAGUACAUAUAGAACUGGCUGGUGAUUUAAGCACAGCUAGUUUCAUGGGAGCCUUCAAGCGGUUCCUAUCCUAGACGAGGCCCGGUGGGUAGAAUUUAUUCGGACAAUGGGACGAAUUAUAUAGGUGCUAAACGCAAGCUUUCAGAACUUCAUGAAUUUCUUAGUUCAAAGUAUCAUAAUACAGAGUUUGGUAACGUCUUGGCUGAAAAUCGCAUUGAUUGGUCCCUAAAUGUACCGACAGCUAGCCAUUUUGGCGGGAAUUGGGAGGCUAAUAUCAAAAGCUUAAAGUCUCAUCUAUAUCGCGUUAUAGGUGAUACAAUUCUUUCAUUUGAAGAGCUAUGUACUGUUCUCACUCAGAUCGAAUCGGUAAUGAAUACACGACCUUUAUGUAGAACACUCUCUAGUGAUCCUUCAGAACCGCUUGCCUUAACUCCUGCGCAUUUUUUGAAUCUCACGCCUUUGAAAUGCUUGCCUGCGGAAGAAAUCGAUGAAAAUUUAACUACUCUUGCUAGACACGAUUUGCUAGACAAAUUAGUUCAAUCGUUUUGGAAGCGCUGGAGACGGGAAUACCUUCAUACGUUGCAAUCACGCCGCAAAUGGAACACGCCGGUCGAUCCAGUCGUCGUCGGCUCGGUGGUGAUUCUGAUUAACGAUAAUUCGCCUCCUCUACACUGGCCUUUGGGUGUCGUGGAAGAAGUGUUUCCGGACUCUACGGGAGUUACACGCAUUGCACGGGUUAAGACAGCGAUCGGAUCGUAUUUGCGUCCCGUGGUGCGACUCUGCCCACUACCCAACCAGUAGCUCAUUUAGAUUUUCAUAUUAUUUAGGUUAGUUGUAUAUAGAUAUAGUAUAAAUUCUUAAUUCUUGUAGGAACAUAGCGUAAUAGUAGAUAAACGUAGCGUACUUAUUUGAAUUUAUUGUUAUUCGUUUGUUAGAUAAUACACUUUUUAGUUUUAGUUAGAUAAUACACGUUUUAGUUAGAUAAUACUUUGAAGGCGUCCCUUCAAGCCCGGGGGAAUGGUUGCGCUGGUUUAAAACUUAGUUAGUUUUAGGUUUCGAAAAAUAGCAACAUUUUAAUUUGGUUUUGCAAAUCCUGUCCCAUCCCUCUCCGGCACUUUACCUACGGACGCGUGCGAGCGAGAUCGUGUGGUGACAUCGAGACGAAAAAAUAUGGCUGAACAACCGCGCGCGCGCUUCGUGUCUUUGUUAUGUUAAAUACGUAAAUAAGUGAAAUCGUUGGUGUUUCUCAUCGCGAAGUGGUACGAGUCUGCAGCAAGGACUACAUAAAGGAUUGCACAAAGAAAUGACUCUCGAAGUGAAACUAAUACAGACGAAGCCAAGGCUUUAUAGAAGUCAGUAAAGUCAGUCGUUUGGGCUCUCAGGAAAGUCGGAAUUGGCGAGCACAUACCAAAAAAAAAUUUGGCUGACGAUGCAACCCGCUGAACCUGCCAAUUCUGCAUGAAGGUGGAAACUAUAAAUACAAAUAGACUCCAGUAAUAGCUUCAAUCUAUACAUCGGGUCGAGACGAACAAAAUUUUAGCAAAGCAGACCAAUUUUUGCCUUAUCGAUGGGACAGGAACGAUCAACGAAAGAAGGAUUUAGUAAAUCAUGUACCAUCUGCCAC